ACCCACUCAGGAUCACACCUGGAGAGUUUCCAGUACUCUACCAGUUUCUACUACAGAUGGAAGAGUCAGGCAGAGGCCUAUCCAUUCCAUUCCUAGUUUGGGCAGUGCCUAGAGAGUGGAAAGAAAUCUGCUACAAGU